CUCGUCACUCCUACGGGAGGCAGCAGUGGGGAAUAUUGCACAAUGGGGGAAACCCUGAUGCAGCCAUGCCGCGUGUGUGAAGAAGGCCUUCGGGUUGUAAAGCACUUUCAGUAGGGAGGAAGGUAGUGUAGUUAACACCUGCAUUAUUUGACGUUACCUACAGAAGAAGCACCGGCUAACUCCGUGCCAGCAGCCGCGGUAAUACGGAGGGUGCGAGCGUUAAUCGGAAUUACUGGGCGUAAAGCGCAUGCAGGCGGCCUGUUAAGUCAGAUGUGAAAGCCCGGGGCUUAACCUCGGAAUUGCAUUUGAAACUGGCAGGCUAGAGUCUUGUAGAGGGGGUAGAAUUUCAGGUGUAGCGGUGAAAUGCGUAGAGAUCUGAAGGAAUACCAGUGGCGAAGGCGGCCCCCUGGACAAAGACUGACGCUCAGAUGCGAAAGCGUGGGGAGCAAACAGGAUUAGAUACCCUGGUAG
rnacentral:rRNA from 1 species